GUGAGUAGUUCUAGAGUUUGAUCCUGGCUCAGGAUGAACGCUGGCGGCGUGCCUAACACAUGCAAGUCGAGCGGAGUUUUAGAAAAGCUUGCUUUUCGAAGAACUUAGCGGCGGACGGGUGAGGAACACGUGGGUAAUCUGCCCUACACAAGAGGAUAACAACAAGAAAUUGUUGCUAAUACUCUAUAAACUCUUAGUAUGGCAUCAUACAUAGAGAAAAGAUUUAUCGGUGUAGGAGGGGCCCGCGGCUGAUUAGCUAGUUGGAGAGGUAACGGCUCACCAAGGCGACGAUCAGUAGCCGACCUGAGAGGGUGAUCGGCCACAUUGGAACUGAGACACGGUCCAA
rnacentral:rRNA from 1 species